ensembl:lncRNA
CAGGCUUACAGUAGUCAUGUAGACCAGCUCUGAGCAGGCUUACGGUACUAAUGUACACCAGCUCUGGGCAGGCUUACAGUAGUCAUGUAGACCAGCUCUGAGCAGGCUUAUGGUACUCAUGUACACCAGCUCUGAGCAGGCUUACAGUAGUCAUGGACGUGUGGUGUGCUGGGAGACCCCACGCACAGAAAAAUGCAGAUUUAAAAACAAAAGAAAAGCAACAAAAGCAAGGCCAACGACAUGACAUCAUCAGGACUCCGACAUGACAUCAUCACAGCUCAGACAUGACAUCAUCACAGCUCAGACAUGACAUCAUUAUGACAACAUCACGGCUCAGUACCUGACAUCAUCACGACUAAGACAUGACAUCAUCAUGACAUCAUGACAUCAUUAUGCCUCAGACAUGACGUCGUCACGACUCCGACAUGACAUCACUAUGACAUCAUCAAGACUCAGUACCUGAUGGCAAACAGCAGAACCGUCCGGAACAUUCUGAAACACUAAGCUCUUCUUAUUCCCACAGGAUAGAUGGGAUUAAUACUGGAACAACUGACGACAUCAGUGGUACCUUCAGAGUUCUAUACACGACUGAGAUGAAACCAAGGGUUUUAGUCUGUUGAAUACAUAUUUAAAUACAUGCACCAGUUAGUGAGAACAUGGACUGUCACUUGUGGUGAGAAUCAGCACUGGCUUGAGAUGGAAUAAUCUAAGGGUCAGACACUCACUCACUCACUCAAACAUGCACACACGUGUCGGGCGUCAUCACAUAUCUGAAUUAAUGGCGUGAUGGUCAUGGGUCAUGGGAAGAGGUUUUAUAAAAGUCAUCUUGUUCAGAAAAAUAAAAUCUAAAACAUUCAAACGUUUUGGGAUGAGUGUAAUACGACCCCCCCGCAUCAGAUACAGAAAUAUACUCAAGACAGCAAAAAUACAAGUCUAGCGAUAGCGGAAAAUAAUAGCUGGUCGUUACGACAUAAACGAUAUUCAAGUUCGAGAAACCCGUAUUAAUAUUUAGUUGAGAAUGCAAGAAGGAGGUGUUAAGAGCGGAUAAGAAAAGAAAGAAAAACGGAAAUAGAUCAACCAUAAAGUUAACAAGACCACAUGAAAGCUCUAAAAAGAGUGGACCACUAUUGGAAACGUACAAAAGCAAAAAAUACUGAAUUUCAAACAAGGAACUUAACUAGCAUCUAACAAUAUAUUAAAAAGUAGCUUUUCUAAGUAUUUUAAACCAACCAGUCACAUCCCGUGCCCAAACUGAUUACUUCUACCUCAUCUUUGGGCGAAGCCUGCAGUCCUGCAUGAAUACUCAGACCACUUUGAUUUAAGAAGGGGGGUUUAAUGGGGGUCUUUGUUUUAGCAAAAAUAAAGAGGGACUACCAGUGUGGCCUUUAACCAGUGGGGUGAGCGUCAUUGUGGUUGAAGUGUGCGGGGCUGCAUGUAAGGCACACCGUACACAGGUUCAAACACCAGGGCCAAACCACUCACACAUCAACCACCACACAACCGGACACCUUGCACUGAACACAGCUCAGAGGACCGUUCUGUGACUCCAACGAGGGAACGCAGAACUAUGACUUAUUACUAUUUCAGAGGACGGGACUCAAAUAAAACACACCCGGCGUGACCUCGUCAAAACAAAGUUGUGUUUUCGGGGGUGUUUUACAGUGUUGCAUAGUUUCUUUUGAGUGUGCAGACAAAAGAGGCUAAAAGUCUCCCUUUUCCUUUUUCCUUUUUGUUUUGAAACUCUAUGGACCAAUCGCAGGCCUCCGAGACGUGCGCCCUGGGCUUUAUGAGCCAAUCGUUAACACAGAAUGGGAGAAGGAGAGAGAGGGGGUGGGC